GACCACUCCGGUGGCCUAGUGGUAAGAGCGUCCGCCUCGGAUGUGAGAGGUUGCUGGUUCGAAUCCCGUCCGAGUCA